GUACUCACUUCGGCAGCACAUAUACUGAAACUGGAACAAUACAGAGAAGAUUAGCAUGGCCCCGUGCAAGGAUGACACACAAAUUCUUAUAUUUUAAGUUCCAUAUAUUU